GUGAUUUUUAAUAAAAAAUGUAUUUGAGGUUCUCUUCUGGUAAUAGUAUACUGUUAAUCUAUUAUGUCGGUUGAUUGAUUUUGUUUGUAGUUAAACGUCAAGUGACAACUAUUUCAUUCAUGUCUACAAAUCUCUCGACAAAUCUGACGAAUUUGACGAGAUUGUUGGUAGUUUUACCACAUCGUACAUAUCCGGACACUGUACAACUGUACAAUUUUCGUUAGAAUAUUCUGCGGAAAAAGAAUAGUAAAUCCAAUCCAAAUAAGUAGAAUAACAAUGAAAUAUCCAUGCAUGUAUAAAUGCGUAAAGUAAAAAUUAUGAAGGGACAGGUAAAAAACGGGGAACGAAGUAACGUCGACAAAGAUGUUGAUAUCCCAUGAUAUACGAAUGUUGUUCCGAUGCGUUGGAUAACCCUAAUUUCUAUCCGCCUUCUAAUUAAAAAAAUAUGAUAGCUCUAUGUAUGUAAUUGACUAAUGUUUAUAAGAAUAUAUAAAAAUAAAAAAAGAAAGAAUUGUGUUGUUAUUAAUAAUGUCUAUAGUAGAGUAUAGCGAGUAAAGAAAUUUGCUAUCAGAGGCCUUCUUGGGAAGAACAAUGCGAAUGUUGUUUAUACAUAUUUUAAUAAAGCUCAAGUCUGAUAUGAAAAGUCGCAAAAACGAUAACAUUUCAUAAGCAGACAUGUCCCCAGGUCUGGUCAAUAGCAGACUUGUCCACAGGUCUGGUCAGAAGCAGACCUG
rnacentral:lncRNA from 1 species